rnacentral:ncRNA from 1 species
CCGGGCGUACGACCACCCGUCACCUAUUCGAACAUGCGUCACUGGCAACGGUGGGGUGUGAAGCUUCGAAGACAAUGUACCCCCGUGUAGCUACGGCAUCCCGCUCAUGCGAAUGAUCGGGAUGGAGACUGCCAGCAGCAAGGCGGUUCAGGGG